GCCAGAUUUGGUGGCUCACAUCUGUAAUCCCAGUGACUCAGGAGGCUGAGGCAGGAGGAUCCCAAGUUCAAGGCCAGCCUCAGCAAGUUAUCGAGGCCUUGAGCAACUUCGUGAGAUGCUGUCUCAA
rnacentral:sRNA from 1 species